rnacentral:rRNA from 1 species
AUUGAACGCUGGCGGCAUGCUUUACACAUGCAAGUCGAGCGGCAGCGCGGGGGCAACCCUGGCGGCGAGCGGCGAACGGGUGAGUAAUGCAUCGGAACGUACCCUGGAGUGGGGGAUAACGCCGCGAAAGCGGCGCUAAUACCGCAUAUGCUCUGAGGAGGAAAGUGGGGGGACCGCAAGGCCUCACGCUCUGGGAGCGGCCGAUGUCCGAUUAGCUAGUUGGUGAGGUAAAGGCUUACCAAGGCGACGAUCGGUAGCUGGUCUGAGAGGAUGAUCAGCCACACUGGGACUGAGACACGGCCCAGACUCCUACGGGAGGCAGCAGUGGGGAAUUUUGGACAAUGGGGGCAACCCUGAUCCAGCCAUGCCGCGUGAGUGAAGAAGGCCUC